rnacentral:rRNA from 1 species
UGGGGAAUUUUGGACAAUGGGCGAAAGCCUGAUCCAGCAAUGCCGCGUGUGUGAAGAAGGCCUUCGGGUUGUAAAGCACUUUUGUCCGGAAAGAAAUCCUUGGCUCUAAUACAGUCGGGGGAUGACGGUACCGGAAGAAUAAGCACCGGCUAACUACGUGCCAGCAGCCGCGGUAAUACGUAGGGUGCAAGCGUUAAUCGGAAUUACUGGGCGUAAAGCGUGCGCAGGCGGUUUGCUAAGACCGAUGUGAAAUCCCCGGGCUCAACCUGGGAACUGCAUUGGUGACUGGCAGGCUAGAGUAUGGCAGAGGGGGGUUAGAAUUCCACGUGUAGCAGUGAAAUGCGUAGAGAUGUGGAGGAAUACCGAUGGCGAAGGCAGCCCCCUGGGCCAAGUACUGACGCUCAUGCACGAAAGCGUGGGGAGCAAACAGGAUUAGAUACCCUGGUAGUCCACGCCCUAAAACGAUGUCAACUAGUUGUUGGGGGAUUCAUUUCCUUAGUAACGUAGCUAACGCGUGAAGUUGACCGCCUGGGGGAGUACGGUCGCAA